rnacentral:tRNA from 1 species
GCGGAUAUAGUUUAAUUAAGAUGGUGCGUUGUGGCUGCAUAGAUGGGUUUUUGCUCUGUUCGUA